rnacentral:lncRNA from 1 species
GUUUGCAUAAAAAUGUACAGCAUAUGGAAAAAUCAGGAAAAAAUGUGUGUUCUAUUUAUCUUCAAGAUAUCUCCCCAAGUUUCCUCCUGGAGGUGCAAUUGUUUGUAAGAGCUUUUUCAUGUGAACACAGUAGUUUCUCUAUUUUAUUUAUUGUUCGCACCUUUAUGGAAAGUGAAAGGCCAAGAGAGGAUGGCAGGCUGCGGGCUAUCGGAAGAUGCCUUCUUCUCCUCUUUCUUUUACAACUACAGCUCCUCCUGGGAAACCUCCUACAACCAGCUGCUCCAAGUGGGGAAGUAGAGCACACAUUUCUCUUCCGCUGCUGGCACCAGAUCAGCUUGUGGUCCAACUUCAGUCCAAUCUUGAAAGAAAACGUAUUGAUUGGGCUAAGAGCUUGGUUGUCCUGGCAUAAGAGUACUGCUCUUGAGGAAUCUGAGACACCGUCUUGACUCUAGGACUGCCUGGAUGGUCCUCUGUUUUGUAAAUCCUUGUCAACCUGAGGGACCAGAGAAGAGGCCAGGGAGUUCUAACAUGGACCUCCAUGAGUCUGAUCAUCAAG